ensembl:lncRNA
UACAGUGGGAGUAACGCUGCUUCUCUGAUCCACUUCUACCAAACCAAAUACUUGAGGACUGUGUGGUGUGCAGUUACCACUGAGACUGAGAACGUGUACUUAAUCAACAGCAAUCCAGUCUUCUGUAUCAACCAUCUUCACUUCCUGUGGGAAUGGUGUUUUUCUAUCUCAUCUUUCAGCAUCCAGCCCACAUGAAUACAUGGCCCUGUAUAUAACCGAGCAAGCCGAAGAAAGCAUUUGAUACAUGUUUCCAUCAAAGCUGUCUGCUUUAUGUGUGCUGCCUCAAGCCUGCAGUACCAGCACUGGACACCACACCUUUUGGAAGUACAAAUACAGUGCAGGCAGCUGUUGUAGAAGCUUCCCUGUGCAGCUCUGGAAAUGACUUUUUCUUCAACUAAGGACGUUCUCAAUCUGGAAGGGAAAAAAAUAGAAUAAAUGGGCAUCUUUACACUGAAAGGUACUUCUGAGUGUGAUUUCAGUCUACCAUCUUAGUGAGCAGUUCAAUUCACCGUAACAGGAGUGGUUUUGUGAGGACAAGAGUUACCUACAGCUUGGAGAAAAGUAUGAAAAUAAAUUCUCCAGACAUCCAGGAAUUAUUUCCUCACUGGGCAACUGGUCUAUCUAUUUUCCUAGCCAUAUUAUACUUCUCCUCUAGCUCUCCUUCAGAUGGACUCUGGGGACUGGAGGAGGUUACACAUACCUAUUUGAGACAAAUUGGGAACAGAAGAAUUCGAAGUUAAGACCAGAUAAUUCCUAGUCCAGCAGCUCUUAAGAAGUACACAGAGUGUAUGCAUGUGAAUGAACUACAUGUGAAGACGAACAGGACCCAGGCGUGCUCACCUGCUGAACAAACCUCUAGUCUUCAGAAGGAACUAGUGCCAUCUGCUGAAGAAGGAAUGCCCUCUACUGCUCGGUUACAGAGCUGCGCCGUAGCAAAAGCUGCUCGAAAACCAAGUGUGACAUGGGCUGAAACGAAGCUUUGAGAAGCAGAUGAUUUACUGGACAUAAUAAUUACAGUAUCAACAACAACAACGUUUGCUUAUACUGUCUGCCUCAGAACUCUUAGGAGAUAUUAA